UGGAGGGGUGAAGAAACCUCAUCGUUACAGGUCUGGUACCGUGGCACUCCGUGAAAUUAGACGUUAUCAGAAGUCCACCGAACUUCUGAUCCGCAAACUUCCUUUCCAGCGUCUGGUGUGAGAAAUUGCUCAGGACUUCAAAACAGAUCUGCGCUUCCAGAGCGCGGCUAUUGGUGCUUUGCAGGAGGCAAGCGAGGCCUAUCUGGUGGGCCUCUUUGAAGACACCAACCUGUGUGCUAUCCAUGCCAAACGUGUCACAAUUAUGCUAAAAGACAUCCAGCUAGCGCGCCGCAUACAGAUCGGUAGAGCGU